rnacentral:rRNA from 1 species
UGGGGAAUAUUGGACAAUGGGCGCAAGCCUGAUCCAGCCAUGCCGCGUGAGUGAUGAAGGCCCUAGGGUUGUAAAGCUCUUUCACCGGUGAAGAUAAUGACGGUAACCGGAGAAGAAGCCCCGGCUAACUUCGUGCCAGCAGCCGCGGUAAUACGAAGGGGGCUAGCGUUGUUCGGAUUUACUGGGCGUAAAGCGCAUGUAGGCGGACUUUUAAGUCAGGGGUGAAAUCCCGGGGCUCAACCCCGGAACUGCCUUUGAUACUGGAAGUCUUGAGUAUGGUAGAGGUGAGUGGAAUUCCGAGUGUAGAGGUGAAAUUCGUAGAUAUUCGGAGGAACACCAGUGGCGAAGGCGGCUCACUGGACCAUUACUGACGCUGAGGUGCGAAAGCGUGGGGAGCAAACAGG